UCUAGAGUACUCAUUUAGGGGAAAGCUACCUUCACGUGCGAAUUAUUCUUUGUCCAUGUUCCUGGAUCCCUGGAAAUGCUUACAAGGUUGAAGAAGGCAAAGUCAACAGUCAGGAUUCCUCCCAAGAGGGGACCAUUCCAAUGUAACAAGCUGAUACACUCAAAAGAGGGAAUCAAGGAAAAUUCAAUGGAAAAUCUACUUGCCAAGAUGUGGCCAGAGCCAGGGAGACUUCCAAGGGUCAUUGCAGCAUCCCAAGGUCUGGCAGACAAGGAGUUGGAACAACACGAAGCCUGCUUUCCUUCUGCUAUCCAUUCCCUCUGCCAAUAGAUCAUAUUGACUAAACCUAAGUGGAAGCCAGAAGGCAAAGACCAAACUGUGGUGAUCCCUGAGAGAUUCUCUGGUGUGGGUCAGGGAUAGAAGGGCAAAGAGAAGACAUGGAUGGGCAAAUAAAUAAAUCUUGCAUAGGUUCUUUAUCUGCAGUUUGGAACUACUUAAAACUACCUUUGUUACAUAUAUGCCUGAAAAGGAAGCCAAAAGAGAAUGAACUCCAGAUAGAAUACAGUUUUUCAUAUAUUU